rnacentral:rRNA from 1 species
AGAAUCAACGCUGGCGGCGUGCCUAACACAUGCAAGUCGAACGAGAAAGUGGAGCAAUCCAUGAGUAAAGUGGCGAACGGGUGAGUAACACGUGACUAACCUACCCUUGAGUGGGGGAUAACCUAGGGAAACCUGGGCUAAUACCGCAUAAUAUCGAGAGAUCAAAGGAGCAAUUCGCUUAAGGAGGGGGUCGCGGCUGAUUAGCUAGUUGGUGAGGUAAUGGCUCACCAAGGCUAUGAUCAGUAUCCGGCCUGAGAGGGCGCACGGACACACUGGAACUGAAACACGGUCCAGACUCCUACGGGAGGCAGCAGUGGGGAAUUUUGCGCAAUGGGGGAAACCCUGACGCAGCAACGCCGCGUGGAGGAUGAAGUCCCUUGGGACGUAAACUCCUUUCGAUCGGGACGAUAAUGACGGUACCGGAAGAAGAACGCCCGGCUAACUUCGCGCCAGCAGCCGC